rnacentral:rRNA from 1 species
AUUGAACGCUGGCGGCAUGCCUUACACAUGCAAGUCGAACGGUAACGGGCCUUCGGGUGCCGACGAGUGGCGAACGGGUGAGUAAUACAUCGGAACGUGCCCGAUCGUGGGGGAUAACGAGGCGAAAGCUUUGCUAAUACCGCAUACGAUCUACAGAUGAAAGCAGGGGACCGCAAGGCCUUGCGCGGACGGAGCGGCCGAUGGCAGAUUAGGUAGUUGGUGGGAUAAAAGCUUACCAAGCCGACGAUCUGUAGCUGGUCUGAGAGGAUGAUCAGCCACACUGGGACUGAGACACGGCCCAGACUCCUACGGGGGGCAGCAGUGGGGAAUUUUGGACAAUGGGCGCAAGCCUGAUCCAGCCAUGCCGCGUGCAGGAUGAAGGCCUUCGGGUUGUAAACUGCUUUUGUACGGAACGAAAAGCCUUCUUUUAAUACAGGAGGGUCAUGACGGUACCGUAAGAAUAAGCACCGGCUAACUACGUG